rnacentral:misc_RNA from 1 species
GAUGAAGAACGUAGCGAAAUGCGAUAACUAAUGUGAAUUGCAGAAUUCCGUGAAUCAUCGAGUCUUUGAACGCACAUUGCGCCCCCUGGUAUUCCGGGGGGCAUGCCUGUCCGAGCGUCAUUGCUGCCCAUCAAGCACGGCUUGUGUGUUGGGUCCUCGUCCCCCCCGGGGGACGUGCCCGAAAGGCAGCGGCGGCACCGCGUCCGGUCCUCGAGCGUCUGGGGCUUUGUCACCCGCUCUGCAGGCCCGGCCGGCGCUGGCCGACGCGAAAGCAACCAUUUUUUCUCCAGGUUGACCUCGGAUCAGGUAGGGAUACCCGCUGAACUUAAGCAUAUCAUAAGCGGAGGA